rnacentral:rRNA from 1 species
AUUGAACGCUGGCGGAAUGCUUUACACAUGCAAGUCGAGCGGCAGCGCGGGGGCAACCCUGGCGGCGAGCGGCGAACGGGUGAGUAACAUAUCGGAACGUACCCCGUCGUGGGGGAUAACACAGCGAAAGCUGUGCUAAUACCGCAUACGACCUGAGGGUGAAAGUUCGGGGGAUCGCAAGACCUCGCGCGAUGGGAGCGGCCGAUAUCGGAUUAGCUUGUUGGUGAGGUAAAGGCUCACCAAGGCGACGAUCCGUAGCUGGUCUGAGAGGACGACCAGCCACACUGGAACUGAGACACGGUCCAGACUCCUACGGGAGGCAGCAGUGGGGAAUUUUGGACAAUGGGCGCAAGCCUGAUCCAGCAAUGCCGCGUGAGUGAAGAAGGCCUUCGGGUUGUUAAAGGACUCUUUCAGUUGAGAAGAAAAAGUUAGUGACUAAUAAUACAUGAUUCAUGACGGUAGUCAACAGAAGAAGACACCGG